AAAAGGUUUGGUCCUAGCCUUGGAAUCAAUUCUUAUUUAAUAUACACAUGCAAGUCUCCGCACCCCUGUGAAAACGCCCUAAUAACCCCAGUAGGGAAUAGGAGCUGGUAUCAGGCACAACCUCCUUGCCCAAAACACCUAGCCUCGCCACACCCACAAGGGCCUUCAGCAGUGAUAAACAUUGAGCAUAAGCGACAGCUUGACUCAGUUAAAUUACCCAGAGCCGGCCAAUCUGGUGCCAGCCGCCGCGGUUAUACCAGAAGCUCAAAUUGAUUUCUAUCGGCGUAAAGCGUGAUUAAAGAUUUAAAUUUUUUUGGAGUCCAACUAAAAUUAAGCUGUGACACGCCUGCUACCUAAGAAGACCUGAAACGAAAGUUAUUCCAAUUUCCCCUCACUUGAACUCACGACAACUGAGAAACAAACUGGGAUUAGAUACCCCACUAUGCUCAGUCGUAAACUUUUAAUUACACCCACAUCGCCCGGGAACUACGAGCCAAGCUUAAAACCCAAAGGACUUGACGGUACCCCAUAUCCCCCUAGAGGAGCCUGUCCUAUAAUCGAUAACCCCCGUUUAACCUCACCAUAUUUUGCUAUUUCAGCCUGUAUACCUCCGUCGUCAGCUUACCGCGUGAGCGUUAGUGAGCUUAAUGUUUUACAACUAAACGUCAGGUCAAGGUGCAACUUAUAUUAUGGAAAAAGAUGGGCUACAUUUUCUAACUUAGACCACACGAAAGACUUUAUGAAAACUAGUCGGAAGGCGGAUUUAGUAGUAAAAGGAAAUCAGAAAGUUCCUUUUAAACCCGGCACUGGGGUGUGUACACACCGCCCGUCACCCUCCUCUACUGCUAUUAAACAGUUUUUAACUACUUCAGCUUUAUAGAAGAGGUAAGUCGUAACAUGGUAAGUAUACCGGAAGGUGUGCUUGGAUACAG
rnacentral:ncRNA from 1 species